rnacentral:rRNA from 1 species
GGAGCACCCUUUGGGGUGUGACUGCGUACCUUUUGUAUAAUGGGUCAGCGACUUAUAUUCUGUAGCAAGGUUAACCGUAUAGGGGAGCCGGAGGGAAACCGAGUCUUAACCGGGCGUUAAGUUGCAGGGUAUAGACCCGAAACCCGGUGAUCUAGCCAUGGGCAGGUUGAAGGUUGGGUAACACUAACUGGAGGACCGAACCGACUAAUGUUGAAAAAUUAGCGGAUGACCUGUGGCUGGGGGUGAAAGGCCAAUCAAACCGGGAGAUAGCUGGUUCUCCCCGAAAGCUAUUUAGGUAGCGCCUCGUGAAUUCAUCUCCGGGGGUAGAGCACUGUUUCGGCUAGGGGGCCAUCCCGGCUUACCAACCCGAUGCAAACUGCGAAUACCGGAGAAUGUUAUCACGGGAGACACACGGCGGGUGCUAACGUCCGUCGUGAAGAGGGAAACAACCCAGACCGCCAGCUAAGGUCCCAAAGUCAUGGUUAAGUGGGAAACGAUGUGGGAAGGCCCAGACAGCCAGGAUGUUGGCUUAGAAGCAGCCAUCAUUUAAAGAAAGCGUAAUAGCUCACUGGUCGAGUCGGCCUGCGCGGAAGAUGUAACGGGGCUAAACCAUG